rnacentral:rRNA from 1 species
GUAAUCGCGGAUCAGCAUGCCGCGGUGAAUACGUUCCCGGGCCUUGUACACACCGCCCGUCACACCACGAGAGUUUGUAACACCCGAAGUCGGUGAGGUAACCUUUUGGAGCCAGCCGCCUAAGGUGGGACAGAUGAUUGGGGUGAAGUCGUAACAAGGUAGCCGUAUCGGAAGGUGCGGCUGGAUCACCUCCUUUCUAAGGAA